rnacentral:rRNA from 1 species
GUGAAAGCCCUGGGCUCAACCUGGGAACUGCAUUGGAUACUGGCAAGCUAGAGUGCGGUAGAGGGUGGUGGAAUUCCCGGUGUAGCAGUGAAAUGCGUAGAGAUCGGGAGGAACAUCUGUGGCGAAGGCGACCGCCUGGACCAGCACUGACACUGAGGCACGAAAGCGUGGGGAGCAAACAGGAUUAGAUACCCUGGUAGUCCACGCCCUAAACGAUGCGAACUGGAUGUUGGGUUCAACUAGGAACUCAGUAUCGAAGCUAACGCGUUAAGUUCGCCGCCUGGGGAGUACGGUCGCAAGACUGAAACUCAAAGGAAUUGACGGGGGCCCGCACAAGCGGUGGAGUAUGUGGUUUAAUUCGAUGCAACGCGCAGAACCUUACCUGGCCUUGACAUCCACGGAACUUUCCGGAGAUGGAUUGGUGCCUUCGGGAANCGUGAGACAGGUGCUGCAUGGCUGUCGUCAGCUCGUGUCGUGANAUGUUGGGUUAAGUCCCGCAACGA